rnacentral:rRNA from 1 species
AUGGCGACAGAGGUCAAUCAAAACUGUUUUGGAUGGCCGCAUGAGGAAUCAUCUGGACAGGAUAGUUCUCAGGGAACAACGCAAGUGUUUGACCAUGGUUCCAUAUCUUUUGGAAGAUUCGAUUUAGAAUCGCUAGCAUGGGAAAAGUGGUCUGUUUUUACCAAUGACAGGCGCACUGAGGAGUUUGUUAAAUUCAAUGGAUUAGUUGCUAAGAAGAAGGCAUACUUUGAAGAAUACUUUAAGAGGAUCAGGGAGCUGAAAGCUUUAGAACAACAAAACCAACAAACUGAACUGAAUCUAGAGUACAGUGGCGAUGGUAGUGAUUCUAGUCAGACAGGAGAAGACGAACCAGUUGCAAAGCAUGCAUCUCCUGCUGGAUCUGGAACUCAUGUUGAUGAUUCCAUGGGACAAAUAGAAGCCGAGACCACACCUGAGCAUCGACUGGGAUGCUACAAGGAUCACAAUGAGAGCAUAAGUAAUGGAAUUUCCACAAUGACUCGUUCUUCAUCAGUUGGAGGCUUACAGAUAAUUGGCGAAGAAACCGGAGAAAAUGCAAGCAGUGAUAAGCAAAAUGCUAAAUGUGGUCAAGAUGAUCUGGUGAUGCCCAAUGAAGCUACAAUGACCCCCAAGAGAAUUAUUGAGAAAUGCUCCCGGAUUAGUCAAGCUUCAAAAAUUAUUCCAAAGACGGUCAAGAUGACUAAAAGUUAUAAUCCUGAUCACACAUUUGUCAGUAAGGGUCCUGAAUCAGCCAAGCCCAUUGUGAUAAAUCAGAAAACCAAGCCUGGAAAUAUUCAAUCAUUGCGGAAUCCAAAAGCAGCAACCACCAAUGUGAUUGGUACCACGGGAAGAACCAAACGUGUGCCCAAAGAAGAUCCUGGUGCCAUAGCUCUUAGAAGACCUUCCUCAGCAGCAUCGCAACGGCCCUCCACCAGGGAACGACCUGUCACGAGAGACGGUUCACAGAACCCUGCUGGAAUGGCUAGCUCAUGUCGCCCCUCUACUGCUGAAAGACGCCUUGCCACUAGAGACCUGGCAGCAAAUCAAACAAACAUUGCUAGCCCAUGUCGACCAUCUACUGCUGAAAGGCGCGCUAUAACCAAAGAGCUGGCACCAAAGCAUGCCAAUGUAGCUACCCCACGUCGGCCAUCUACAGCUGAUAGGCGCCCUAUCACCAAAGAGCCGGCACCAAAUAAUGCUAGCAUUGCUACCCCACACCGACCAUCUACUCCUGAUAGGCGCCUUACCACCAAAGAGCCAGCACCUAAGCAUGCCAACAUUGCUACCCCACAACGACCUUCUACUGCUGAAAGGCGCCCUACACGCAGAGAGAUGGCACCGAAGCUUGCUGGUAUUGCCAGUCCAUGUUGGCCAUCUAGCGCUGAAAGACGGCCUGUCGCAAGAGGGAUUGCAGAGAAGAAUGCUGAUGUUGUCACCCUGCGUCGACCAUCUACUGCUGAGAGGCGCCCUAUAAAAAGAGAACCUGCUCCAAAGCAUGCCGAUGUUGUUCCUCUUCGCAGGCCUUCUACUGCUGAGAGACGCCCUGUUGCCAGAGACACUGGGCUUAAGCAUGCUAAUGUUGGCAACCCUUGUUGCCCUUCAACUCCUGAACCAUGCCUCAGCAGGGGAAGUGCAGCAAAGCAUGCUGAUGUUGUCAUCACUUCUUGUCGCCCUUCAACGGGAGAAAGGCGAGCUGUUGCCAAAGAGAAUGCCCUAAAAUUGGAUCCAAAAACACCAAUAAGGUUGAGAGCAAUGCCGGGUAAUUCAAAUGGUGCUAUGGCCACAGCGGCUACUCCCCAGAAGGCAAUUACUCGAAAUCUUGUUAAAACUAGCAAACCAGAGAUGAAAAGCUAUGCUAAGGGAAGGUUAGAACUUCAAGUUGGCGGGAAACUAAAAUCUAGUUCUGUUAAUCUUCCUCCAAGGAAAGUUUUGACUUCGAAUGUUGGAGCCAAUCGAGUUGUAGAGAACAUCAGAAAGCCAAUUAAGCAGGGCAUUCAGGAGACUGUUGGAUCUCGAGUAUUUGCAUCAAAGAAUGCAACUCCUUUGCAGACCGGAAGCACAAAGACAAGGGUACCAAACCCGCCGCCGCCUCCCCCACCACGCAGGGCAUCCCAGUCGCCGAGCAAGCCAAGCCCAAGCCCCAAUAAAUUGUCUGUUGGUGGUAGAAAGCCAAAGGCUUCUACUCCACACUGGCACUAA